GACGAACCGUGCGAACGUUAUUCGGAAUCACUGGGCUUAAAGCGCGUGUAGGCGGGCCGGCACGUCGGCCGCUGAAAUCCCCCGGCUCAACCGGGGAAGGGGCCUCGAUACGACCGGCCUGGAGGGGGGUAGGGGGAUCGGGAACUUCCGGUGGAGCGGUGAAAUGCGUUGAGAUCGGAAGGAACGCCCGCGGCGAAAGCGCGGUCCUGGACCCCACCUGACGCUGAGACGCGAAAGCCAGGGGAGCGAACGGG
rnacentral:rRNA from 1 species